CUUGGGACUAGAAUGGAGAGUAGAACACAUAAAAACCACUCCUUGAAAGGAGUUUACGGCCAAGGAACAUAUCUUGGGCCGUAAACUCCAAGUGAAGGCACAAAAGUGUGCCUCUUGUCCCCAUUAGCCUUAGAUAAAUUCAUGGAAGCCAUCCUUGAUGUUUAAGAGCCUCAAAACAAUUAAAAUCCAAGAGUUUAUGGCCGUAAACUCUAGGGUGAAUGGACUUUAGGCCGUAAACUCCCAUAUGGAGUGUUCUAGAGCCUUAAACUACUUCUAUGUUAUUCCAACAAAGCUAGGAGUGUUCUAGGAUCAAGAUAGCACCACAAAACACCCAAAACCACCAUUUGAGGAGUUCACGGCCAUAAACCCAUGAGUUUACGGCCGUAAACUCCAAGGUGUGGGGUUUGUUGGGUGGUGAACUCCUAUACAAGGCCAUUUGAUGUUUCAAACCCUUUUGCCUUGUCCCGUAGCAACUUAGAUGCAACCAUUUGAACCUUAAACACUCAUAAAAGUGUUUAAAUGUUUUCUAAGUGUCUUAACUUAUUUAUUUAAGUUAUUAUUUGUCUAAUUAGUUAUAUAUAUGCUUAUUAUAUGAUAACUAGGCUCGUGCGUGUAAACCAGUCUCCGUUUGCCACCUAGCACGGUAUCCGACACUGCAAUUCAAACGACUCACCACAAGUGAGUUCAUACCCCUUGAAUCAACCUUUGAAAUGAUUUUAAAUGUUUUAAAACACUUUAUGGGGGGGAAUACAAGUCAAAUACUUAUAGUUAUUGCUUCAAUCACAUGUGAUUGCAUUUAAUCACAUGUGAUUAAUAACUAGGAAAACAACGAUUUUUACCACUGUUCAAACUGUUUAUCAAACUGCUUUACUUUGAAAUGUUUUACAAACUGUUUUACUAUCCAAACUUAUUUAUAGACUGUGAUUCAAACAAAUGCUUCUUAUACUUAAACUGUUUUAUCAACUUAUGCCUUCAAAUUGUUUUAUAGAUCGACAUCAAGUCGAUCUCCUCUUGAAAUUAUAUUUAUGCUUCAAAUGUUUUAUGAAAACUUAUUUAUGCUUUUAUAUAUUCAAUUGCAUGCCCAUAUAUGUAUAGAUAUAUAAAUAAUGUUUAAAGGGCUUAGGAAGGCCAUCCGCCCUAUUUCCUUUUCCUCGAUUUGGAUGUGGUCUGGUGGGAUUUCGGGUGACCAUCCGAAGGUCGUUUCCAUAUUACUUAUAUAUCAUAUAUACAUGUAUAGACAUAAAAGUACUUCCAUAUUCAUACUCAUCAGUACAUCAUUAGCUGGUUACCAUCGGGGUAACGCAGGAUCAUACAUAUACAGAUAUACUAGAAACAAUACAUAUACAGAUAUACUAGAAACAAUACAUAUACAGAUAUACUAGAAACAAUACAUAUACAGAUAUACUAGAAACAAUACAUAUACAGAUAUACUAGAAACAAUACAUAUACAGAUAUACUAGAAACAAUACAUAUACAGAUAUACGAGAAACAAUACAUAUACAGAUAUACGAGAAACAAUACAUAUACAGAUAUACGAGAAACAAUACAUAUACAGAUAUACGAGAAACAAUACAUAUACAGAUAUACGAGAAACAAUACAUAUACAGAUAUACGAGAAACAAUACAUAUACAUAAAUACGUAAUAAUUGUGAUCCACUGUAUCGGGCAUGCCUUAAAUGUCAUGGCCCGAGUUGUAGCCAGAAUUCUCUUGGAGGGAGAGCGUGAGUUUGCGUAUAGAUCUAUACUGGAUUGACUAUCCUACACCUUGCUGCUAGCUACAGCCGGACCUGCAGGUCUGCGGGUGCCAAACGUCAUUUCUUUUUUCGACCGUUCAUUAUGUCGUUGAUUAUCAGUCGAUAGCAUGGUGCAAUUAAUCACAAUAUACCUUAAUAUAAAUCCGGUUUAAGGUAGUAGUAUUUAGUACAACAGUAGUCUUAUUAUACAAAGCUACAGUACUACAAUGAUUUACCCAUUACAUAUUUUAGUGAUAACCUCACUUAAGCAUUAAUGUACAAACUAUAUUUUUAACAAAUGAUAGUUAUACUUGGGUAAUUACACACUUUUACAACAGACAAGUUUACAAAACAGUUUAGCCUUGGUAGAAGGUUACUUUUAUAGAAAAUAUAGGAUUUUCUGAGAGAUUCAAACUUUUACAAACACUUUCAAACAUUUACUUACAUUUUUACAAACUUAUACCUUGAGACAGGUUCAAACGUUUUUGACAAGAAACAUUGACACUAAAAUACUUAUGAACUCACCAGCUUAAUGCUGAUAAACUCUUUCAAAAUAACUUGUAUUCUCAGGUCAUCAGUAGACAGGUACCGAGGCCAGCUUUUGAGAAGAUGGAGUGCAUUCAAGACUCAUCUCAUAUUAUUUUGUGUUACAUUAUUUUUGGUGUCUAUAACUGUACAAAACACACUUGUAUUAAAAUUAUAUAUUUAAUGCAAUGGAUGAUGUUGUUUACUUAUUUACAUUUACUGUGUUGUGAUACUGUACAUGACGUCCUCCGCCCCAGAACGUUUCCGCCGUUCUUGGUUUUGGGGUGUGACAUUAUUUAAAGGACCUUAUAGCCCCUAUGUGCGGCUACCUGUCCAGAGAGAGUGCCCCUUGAGAGUUUGAGCGAGUUGAAAGAGAGAUAAGGCAAUAUUAAUCAAUUUUGGUGUGAUUUAACAAAUGAGAGGUUGUUUCCAGCAAGAGGAGGUCACAGGAGCUGUGGAUCCAGGGUUUUCAAGUUCAGAUCUACACUUUUGAGGUACCAAAUUAAACUUUCUUUCUAUUUUGGGUUAAGAUCCAUGAUCAAGGGUUUUCUAUGGCCUUUUUAUAGUGCGAUAAGUGGAGCUUAUGGUACUUUGCUAUGUUAGACCUCAGAUCUGGACCCAUAGAGGUCCAGAGAGCCUUCCCCAUUCUGCUUUAUUGUUGUUUAUGGAGGAAAGGAGGCUAGGAUUCCAUGUUUGAAGAAAUUUUACCAAAAUAAGGCUUGGGUGCAAUGCAUGUAUAGCAAGAUUCGACCUUUACAUGGUUAUUGGCUAUGGGAAGUCAUGUAUUUAAUUUAGGGCAAUAGAUCUGACCUUAGAAGGUCAUUUGAGUGUUGUCAUUUGAGUGUUGUCAUAGGAGAAACUCGCCGAGUUCAUAAGUGGACUCGACAAGUCAAGUCAGGGUUCUCUCAUGAUUCGUUGCUGAAUAACCCGAUGAGUGGAGAGGGGACUUGUCGUGCCAAGUGGGAUUGGAAGGAUCUAGAGGACUAGUGUGGACUCGUCGAGUCGCCUAAAUGCACUCGACGAGUCUGGUCAAAGUUUGACCAUUGACUUUGUUCACUUUUAGGAUUUAGUCAAUGUUUGGACUUAUGAGCAAUUAAAGGGGUAGAAUGGCCUUUUACCCUUCUUAGAGGACUUGGACAGAGGGGUUAGCCUAGCCUUUAGGAGUUGUAUGAAAUAGAGUAAUUAUUAUGUGAUUAGGCGGAGGCUAGUACAGGGUUUCAGAGUUCGAGGUUUAUCGAGUUAUCUGAGGUGAGUCUUCUCACUAUACUUUACCUUGUGUGGUAAUUAGAGUUAUGUGAUAGAGUAUCUUGUAUGUUAUUCAUGUGAUGUGUUGCACAACAUUAUUUCUAUAUGAUUUAUAUAUAUCAAAGUUUAUAAAGUUAGGACAAGAAGGUCCACAGAGUUAGGAUCAGAGGGUCCACAGGGUUAGAGCUAGAGAGCUCACAGAGUUAUAGCCUCAGGUGGCUAUUAUGUGAUAAAGGUGGUAUUUUGGGGAACUCACUAAGAAUUUAUUCUUAGAGUGUUUAUGUUAUGUGUUUCAGGUACCAGUGAGGAUUACGGGAAGGCAUCGGCAUGAUCAUUACACACUAUUGGAGAUUUUAUACAUUUUGAUCUUGGGAUGUGUUGUUUUUAUGGAUUUGAUGUAUGACAGAAGGAGAUAUAAAUAAUGUUUAUGAAUUCGAAUUAACAAUUUUAAAAGGGAAAAAAAUGUUUUGAAAUUUAUGUUGUUACAAACUUAAUCUUUAUCCCUCAAUGAAGUCAUAAUCCAAUUAUAAUUCAUAAUUACAUUAAUUUUUUUAGAAUUAGAAUCUUGCGUAGCUCUUUACGUAAAGAUUUUUUAUUUUAAACUAUAUGUCUCAUAUACAUUCUGUUAGUUCUUCCAAAGUACUCUUAGAAUGUUUCUAUAGUCAUCCGGUGACUUAACCAUGUAUUUAAUUGACAUAUUAUGAUAUGCUCAUAGCAUGAUCAUACACCAGGUCUUAUGCAUAAUAUGGCAUAAAUGAUGAAUUCAUUUGUCAAGAAAAUAGAAUAUAAAUAAUUUCGGCUAGAUCAAACCUAUGAGCAAGGUUCUUUCGAGGCUGACUCAUACUUAGUGCCAUGUGACAAUACUAAGGUUCCUCUAAAGAAAUUUUCUAUCUUGAUCUCUUUCAAGACAUUGUCAGUAUAGGCAUACGUAUACAAAACUUUUAACAUUCAUUUUAACCAUCUUUAUCGGUUUUACAUUCCAAGAAUCUGUCUUGUUCUUCCUAAGUCUAUCAUUUUAGAAAUAUACUCUAAAUCAAGGUGAAAAUGCCUAGCAUGGUCAGAAUGUGGUUUCUCGUGAUUAAGUAUGUCCCAUUCAUACCAUAUUAGGAAUUUCAUAAUCCUCCCACUACUUCUUAGUAAGCACACAUGUUCUAUUCAUUUUGAUAUAAAACAUACCUUGUGGUUUUACAUUAAAAUGAUGAUUGCAACAUUGAGAUGCUUGUUGUAUAUCCAAAAGUGGAUCUCAAGCUCUACACAUUUUGUUUGGAUAUCAUGGAUUACGAAAACCUCCAGGCUAAUCUACAUAGAUAUGUCUAUUGAGAAAAACACUCUUUCUUGAAAUCUAUUUGCUAUGUCUCAUAUUAACAAUAUGAAUUUAUAUUAAAUAAUAUCCUUAUUUAUAUUAUCAUAGCUACUUGUGAAAAAGGUUUGAUCAUAGUCAAUGUCAUGAGCAUGAUAAGGACCAUGGUCAGUGACAUGAGUAUGAGAAAAUCCUUUUAUAACAAGUCUUGUUGUAAAUACGUAUUGUUAUCCAUGUAAUGCAUUCUUUCUAGAAGAAUCACCUACUCCUUUUAGACUUCAUAUACAGAUAAAGUUCAGUCAAGACCAUAAUUCAUUAUUUUACAAGGAUUGCAUCUCCUAUUCAUGACUUUAAGUCAUUAAUCAGAUCCGAGGUCUGACGGAGCAUCUUGGUAUUUGAUGAAUUUUCUAGAAACCAUCAAAAAAACUCAUCAAUGAGAGAUUCCACAUUUCUCAAUUCAUAAAUGAUUUCUACCAUUAACGCGGACAAUUUGUGUUUGUGAAUAUUUAUUACUCGAGUAUAACAAUCAUUGUUAAAAACUAGUACCAACUUUUUCUUCAUAAGAUUUUGUAUGGAAAGGCUUCAUUAUUUAGAAAGGAAAUCAUACACCAUAGUAUAUAGUUCCAUAAUAAUUAUUGAUUGUUGCAUAACACUUAUACAUGAUAGAAGAAUCAGAUAAUCCUUCGAGUAGAGGACUCAUCCCUGUAACGGUUAGACUCAGACGAGAGCUGGGAAACAGCGUCAAAUCAUUUACUCUGAGAUUAUCCGAUCCAUGUUGGAAAUGUCUUCUUAUAUUUUCCGAAUAACAAGCGACUCCACUACUGAGUCCCAAAUCACUAAUACCGCCUUGACUUAUCUCAAUGCCUCUAGCUGCUUUCAAAAAGCAAUCAAGACCUCCUUGGUCCCACCAUGUCUACCGAUCAUAAUAGUCUGACAAACCUGACUCCAUGAAGCCCAAUGCUAAAAGUGAAUGCUACAAGGCCAGUUGUAGUCUAAUACCACAACCAACUUCCAACAACCAACCACUUCCUGGUUCCAUGCAUGUUGUAGUUUUUCUAACAGCCUUACAACCUAACCCACUCGAGUCUAAUCAAUCUAAAGAAAUCAAUGACCAAUCAUAUAAUGAAAUCCAUCUGAAAAUCUGUAACCCCAUACUUUCUUGACCCCCAGAUAGAUAGAACCAACCCAAAACACAGGAGCCUGAUUUGCCAACAAAAUUAAAACUAUCCCUUAACCCUGAACCCUACAGAAAAGAAGACCAUGCACAUAAACACCCACGAUACCCAAUGCAAAUUCCCACCAAGAACCAUCUCGGUACCCAACUUAGAACCCAAGAUCAAAGGAUUUACACCUUAAUUUCACCCAAAACAUUAUGAUUCUCAACAACCCGUCACUAAUCUGGCAUAAAGGGCUUCCCCAACCAUCUACGAGACUACCAGUCUCGCACCAGCCCAGCCACCAGGUUUCCAAGAGUCCAAAUGACAAGGCUACCCAGCCGAAACAUCCCUCUACACCACAUACUGACCACACACUCAAUCUUGAAACCCAAGAUCCAAAACCUUGACCCAAUGGUCUCUACCAGAUCCCAUCUGCAUUGUCAUAAUCACAUGGGCCUCGCCCAUGGUCCCCACCCAAACCAUACCACUGAGCGACCUCGCCCACGGGUCCCACCCAUCCAGAGAUAUACAUGCCUGACUCCCUCCCGGACACCGAUGGUUCUCAACCUAAAAUAGAGAAACACUGCUCGAAAAUCCUGACCGGCAUGCCCAAGCCCUUAGGUGAUUCCCUUUUUACAAUCAUGACCACCUCCAACGAUAGUCUACCUCAAACUAGUGAUUGUUAUGAUCCCAUUGCAUUCCUACAACAUUUCUAACCAACGAUGGUUACCACCCAUGGCCUUAACACACCUUAACCAUCAUUAUCCGCACACAUCCUGAGUCAAAACCUGCAUCCAAAUAGGUGUCCAGGUCAUACUUAGAACCCUAAAGCCUUCAUCAGACAAGAACAAGCAGUGAGGCUCUAACACAACCCUUGACCUUGAUCCAUCCAUAAACCUGCUAUGCAUAACAAGAGGUCUCCGACCAGCUGCUGGGAGUUACCUGAACUCCCACUUACACAACCUCAAUCUAAACAGCCACUUGGGUUGUCUCUCUUCCUGACCAAGGUGCGAAACUUGCCGUAGUUCCACACCUGAUCCAACUCUCGGAAAUUCUGAUCAAUUCUCCCCCACUUGGAUUCGAUGAAGCUCUUUCAUACCAUAAGUCUGAUGGAUUCCCAACUCAUCAAACCUCAUAUAGCAUGAACCGCCUAUUACAUACGCUACUCAAUACUAGCGUUCCAUUUCUGGCGAAACUCAAUGAUCACCCAAAUCCUAAAAUCCUAAAGGAUACUCUCGAAACCUUAACCAUUCUAAUAAUCUAAAUAACCUCUGAUGAUACCAUACCAAUUCAUUGAGUUCUUAUGAUGGCAACUAAAAACCAUAACCCUUUCCCUAAAUUAACGAAUGUUCACCCUAACUUCCAUUCUCAAAGAUUCAUUGAAUUUUGACCAUCUACAACCCAUGCGAAUAUACAAUUCCCCUGACAUUUCCAAUCACUAAACAACUCAUGCAACUCACACAACCAUCUUCCUGCUAACAAUGUUCUCCUAGUAACGGUAAUAUUUUAACCCCAAAAGUUCUUCCAUAAACGAUUGUCGAUCUAACCAAAAUAGGCAAUAAAACCACUGCACCCUGACUUCAUUAGAGAACUAAUAUGCUAACCUACACCAAAGAUCAUCCAAGAAAUACCCUUGGAUUGAUCCCAACAGAGACCAAGAUUAACAACUGAACGUGCUGAAACCUACUCAACAAGAUAUGACCCUCUAAAGAUUCAUUAAAGACUCUCGGUAUGCAGAAUGGCAUAUAACAGUCCUUGAUAACCUAGACAAUAGCAGAAAACCUAUCCGAGAUAUAACUUACCCAAACCCAAGCAAAAUUCCAAGAGAACAGCAAUUUCUAGUAACAACCUAGAAGAAAACAUAAGAUAUCAUAUUUGUUAAAGUAUCUGAAGGAAUCCUGAUUUCCUCCCCCUGAGGAUAUGGUGCAAAACUCCCCUCUGAUCCGAAAACAUAUAAAAUAACAAUAGGAUCCUUCUUCUGAAAGGUUUCUAGGGAUCCACAAGCUUUGGGCUCUAGAUGAGCCCCCAACCGCCCUACCACAACUUCGGCACAAAAGGCCCCGAGAUGACCUUCUAGGAGCUCCAAAAUCCCUUCCUUGGCUGAAUCACAAACCACAUCGGUCCAUUCCAAGAUACAACGAGUAAUCUUCGAUGAGAUGAACUCCUACAUCCACGUAUCGAUCGGCUCAGUUCCUGCUCAUGAGCUAGAAUGAGAACUUGAACCCCAUUCCUUAAUGCUCAACACUAUAUGAAAACAACGUGAAAAAGAUCCUAAUAUACCCAAGAAUCUUCAUCCCACAGGCUUCCUAUAUUCUCUAAGACUCUUCCCGAUUCGAGUAUCGAUCAUCUGCUUUAAGUAGUAUGGGCCCAAUACUAUCUUCCACACCAAUGUAUACUUUCCUCGAGAAUACUCCGAAAUCCUCUAAGUCACCUUCUCAAAUACUUGCACUAAAUAUUUGCUACCCAACACAAUAAAACCCACACAAGCAAUCCCUAGGCCUUCCUAGGUUCCUGAUCUCACCUUGCCAUGAGUUGCUGAAGAACUCCUCAUAAUGUCAUUUAGCUACAUCAAAAACACAAUCACAUACAACAAAGCUUAUAUAAUCCCUUGUGUAACAGACUCAUCCCUACAACGAUUAGACUCAAACAAGAGCUACACAAUAGGCUCAUAUCCAUCACUCUGAUAUUAUCCAACCUUUUUCACAUGUGACUUGACAUAUUCACUUAAUAGCUAUCUCACAUCACUUAUGAGUUCUACAAAGCACAAAACAUUCCAAUCAACGGAAUGAUAACAAGCAUUCAAUCCCACAUAUUACAACCCAUACUAAGAGCUCAUAUGCCCGCUAUUGAUUGCCUUAUGCAUACAAAUCAUACCUAAUCUAGGAUCCCUUCCUCCCAAGGCUACCAAGCAUCACAUAUCAGGCCAACCUAUCACUGGCUAGUCAGAACUAGAAUGCAAGUCUAGAAGCUCAUACAAUAGGCAAACAAGGCAUCUUUCCAAACAUUCUAUCAUCCAAAAACUAAGCAAAUCCUUAGCCCUAACUAGCAUGCGAUUCACAGAUUCAUAAAUCAAAUCAUACUAGAUAACAUAUAUGGGUAUUUUGGGAGACACUUGAGCUCGGUCAGUUGCAUACACCACACACUUUCUUGUAUUAGAACACUUUCUUUUCCAUUUUCAAAUCAUUUUUCAUUCAUUUUUGAAAAACUUUACCAAAUCCUUAGUUUAAGUUGAGAUACACCCGAGAGUAUGUCUAAAUCCCACAAAAUAAGGCUCUGAUACCAACUUGUAAUGUCCCAAAAAUAAUAACAUAAAAUUUUCUUUUAUAGAUUAAUAAAUCCUUAAUAUAUAAUAUUCCCAUAAAAGUAAGGUAAUCAAGAUUCAGCAAAAAUUCAUCAAAUCAGAGUAAUUCACAGAAUGUGAAAACACGUACUGUGUGCUCUACAAUCAUCCCGAACCCUUCCAUUUGGAUACUGAAGUACUUGAACCAAAAACUAAAAAUCAUAAGCACAAAUCUUAAUGAGUUCUCCAAGAUACCUCAUACCACACAUAAAUAAAUCACAUAAUGGUCCCCUUCACUCCAUCGGGCCUCGCCCGAUCUUGAUUCCCACUCGGCCUCGGGACCCCACUCGGAUUACAGAUAUGUCAAUCACCUGGGCCCGCCUAACAUUGGGCACCACCCGAUACACACAUAAUCAUUUAACCAUAUAAUCAUAUAAACAUAUAACCUUACUAAGCUAUUCAAUAAUCACAAAGACUAUAACAUAGUAUACAGUCAUGAAGCCCCACUCGACAUCAAGCCUUGCCUGGUAAGCAUAAAAGCACAUACUUAUAACUAGCAUACAAUGUAAUCAUCAUGUCUCGCACGGCCUCGGCCCUUGCCUAAUAAGCAUACCAUCACACAACAUAUGGAAGAUUCAUGAAGACAUCUAGAAUCCUAACAUAUAAAAUGUGGGCAGGAAUUGGUGCAUUCGACUCGCUAAACCCAGUGAGGAAACUCACCUCUUACUACCGAAUCUCACAGAAAGAAUCUCUAGCUGGUAGCCCGCAAGAAUUCCCACGUUAUCAAUCACAAGUUAAUCAUCCAUCAAUAAUCGGAUCUGACUCACACUAAGUGUCUAAACUGGGGUAAAAGAUCUUUUUAGCCACUUCACGACUUAGCCCAAAGCCAAGGCCCAAUUCAACAAUCUAAAAGCCUAAAUUCCAAAUAAUCACCCAAGCCAAAAAUAUCCCAUGUCCAACCCUUGUCAAACUUCUUGUCAAAGUCAAAGUUAAUUUUCCAUGUCGACCAAAAAAGUUGUGUUGCCCCUUGGCCACGCCGUGCUCUAACAACAUCAAAUCAGUCGGGAAAACCCAACCAACAUACUGUGUUGACUCAGAACGCAAUGUGUUUUCUUGAGUUCCAACAACUUAAUACAUUAAGUUGUUUUCGUUGAUUCCAAGAGCUCCAAAGCUCAAAUCUAGUGCAUAAUGUGGUACAGAAGGAUAUAGUUUCCAACUUUAUCCGUUGGGACUACCCAAAAAGGUUUCAAAACUCAAUCCAUAAAGCUUAUUAAUGCAAGAACCUAACCCAUCAAACGCUUAAUCCUUAAAAUCUGAAGUUCGUCCUUUCCUGGGGUGAUUCAAACAGAAAAACGAUCCCAAAGGUUGGUGCUUUAUAGACAUACAUGUGCAUGACAUCAAAACUUGAUCAUAAUCCAUAUCCAAAAUACUAUUAAUUCAUCUUGACCUGGAGAUUCAUAAAGUUGCAAACUUUAUGUGUAACGCCCCGAUUCUCAGGUAUUGUUCAAUUAUAGUUUCUUGGUUUUGGCCCUACUCGAAGAGUCGGUUACCCUGCUCGUCGAGUAGCAGCGGGAUUCGAUUGCAACUUAAGUGACUGACUCAGCGAGUCCACUAGUGGGACUCAGACAGCAGGAGCUGACAAGUGAAACCCUAAUUCACGGGGUUUGUGCCCCUAUUUAAAGGAGCCUUAGCCUCCGUUGGGUCUCUUUACAAAAUUAGAGAGUCCCUGAUUCGAGUGUGUGUACUUUGUUGAGUGUGUGAGGCUUGAUUUGAAGAUUUUGAAGAAGAAGGCUUGAAGGAAGAGGAGGUUGGAGCAAGUAAGGUGGGGAAAUCAACACUAUUUUCAGUUGUCAUCUUCCAGAGGUAUCCUACAUUACCAUCUCUUAUGUGAGUUUUCCUUUUUAUGAAGUUCUAGGGUUUUCUAUGGACCUUAAGGGUUGAUAAGUUGAACAAUGAGUUGGAUCAAAUGUUGUAACUUGAGAUCUAAACCCUCUCUAAGCUCUAGAAACAUAAAGUCUCAGAAUUGAUCAUGUAUGAGGUCCAUCUUGGGCAUGAAGCCCCAUUAAGAGCUUAGACUUGGCAUUUAGAGCCUUAAAUGCAAUGCAUGUAUGUAAAGUUUGUGACUUUACGUUAUAAGUAUGCCAUAGAAGCCUAGAUCUAUGAAUUGGAGCCACUACAUGGCUCGGAAUAAGUCUAUAUGGAAAAAGACCGAGGGGACUCGGUGAGUCACAAGGAUGAAUCAGCAAGGCUGAUGAAGAAAACCGUGAACCCGACAAGUUGGGUGAACAACUCGGCGAGUCUGAUGAAAAAAUCCGUCAACUCGACGAGUUGGAUGAACAACUCGGCGAGUCCGAUGAAGAUCUUCGUGAAACACGCCGAUUUGAUGGACAACUCGACGAGUCAAAUGAAUUUCUCCAAGGUUAUGUACGUGUGACAAAUCGAAAUUUCCAUUUUGUACGAACAAUAUCUAUUCAAUAGAAGCUAGUCCAGUUUCAGUGAUUUUCAGACUUUUCCGAAUAAGUUUGUGUACUUUAGGGUUCACGUUUAAGGAGAUAUCAGGAGAGUGGAUGCUCCUGGGUUUGUGAAACUUGAGCAUUUCAAAACUUCAUAAUGUUAGAGUCCAAUUCCAGAAUAAAUAUCUUUUCUGGCAAAAUAUUUCAGGACUAUAAAUAGAUUUCUGAACUAAAAUCAUUCAUUAUUCACAUUUCCAACUAGAGAAAAGCCAUUUUCUCUCUCACGGAUCUUCCGUUUUUCAUCCCAAAUCGUGAGUACACUUCCCUAGUUGUGUUAUAAUACUUGUUUUAUGCUUCAUAACAUAGAUUACAUGUCAAAUAUGUGAGAUCCGGGAGUUUACCGCCCUAGAACGUUCUUGGGGAGUAAACUCCAAAAUGGAGCCUAAAGGCCAUCUAGUCCCAUUUCCUUGUUAGGUAACUAGUUUAGGAUGUUAUGUAUGAUCAUUUGAGGCUAGAAAUCAACCAAGAACACAUAGCUUUUGGAGUUUACGGCCCAAGAGUUUCUUGGACCAUAAACACCAAAUUCAAGGGCCAAAAAUGUGUCUUAAUUAUUCCUAAGGAUUUAGACAUUAAACCCCAUUUAAUCCUAGCUAAUUUAUCGAAUUUUAAACAUCAAGAACACCCCUUAAAGGGAGUUUACGGCCAAGGAUAUGAUCUCGGGCCGUAAACACAAAGUAAGGGCACCAAAGUGUGCCUAGAGUCCCCCUUAGCCUUAAACAAAAGCCUAGAAAUUAUCCUACUUGUGCAACAGACUUAUAAGAAUUAAAACAACCAUCCCAUGAGAUUUUACGGCCGUAAACUCUAAGGGAUAUGGUAUUUUGGCCGUAAACUCAUCAAAGGAGUAUUAUCUAUGCCCUAAACUACCCAAAGGAAGAAACCACCAAGCUAGGCUUAUUCUAGAAAUCAUUUAGCACCUUAAAACACCGAAAACCACCAAGAUUGGAGUUCACGGCCGUAAACUCAAGGGUUUACGACCGUAAACUCCUUGUGUGGGUUUAUUGGGUAGUAAACUCUUAUUCAAGGUCAUUUGGUACAUUAAACCCCUUUAGCCUUGUCCCAUAGCAACUUAGAUGCAACCAUUAGGACCUUUAACACUUAUACAAAGUGUUUACAUGUUCCUGAGUGUCCCAACUUAUUUCAUUAAGUUAUUAUUUGGCUAAUUAGUUAUAUAUAUGCUUAUUAUAUGAUAACUAGGCUCGUGCGUGUGAACAANCCAUUUGUCACCUAGCACCGUGUCCGACACUACAAUCCAAUCCACUCACCACAAGUGAGUUCAUACCCCUUUAUUUAACGUUUGAAAUGAUUUUAAAUGUUUUAAAUACUUUAUUGGGGGGAAUACAAGUUAAAUACUUACAGUUAUUGCAUCAAUCACAUGUGAUUAAUAACUAGAAAAUCAAUGAUUUUAUCACUGUUCAAACUGUUUAUCAAACUGUUUUACUUCAAAAUGUUUUACGAACUCCUUUACUUAUCAAAUGCUUUUAUUAAACUUUGUUUUACUUCUUAUCAAUUGCAUGCCCAUAUAGGUAUAGAUAUAUAAGUAAUGUUUAAAGGGCUUAGGAAGGCCAUCCGCCCUACAUCCUUUUUCUCGAUUUGGAUGUGGUCUGGUGGGACUUCGGGUAACCAUCCGAAGGUCGUUUCAAUAUUAAUUAUAUAUCAAUUAUACAUAUAUAGUCAUAAAGGUACUUCCCUAUUCCUGCGUACUAGACACAUCAUUAGUGAGUUACCAUCGGGGUAACACAGGAUCAUACUAUUAAAACUUCUAGAUCAAUAAGUCAGUUCAUUCAUGAGUCUAUACAUUACAUUACUACUAGAACAUAUACAACUAUACUAGAACGAGAAACAUUACAUUACAUAUACAAGAAUACGUUAACAAUUGUGAUCCACUGUGUCGGAGCAUGCCUUAAAUGUCAUGGCCCGAGUUGUAGCCAAAAUUCUCUUGGAGGGAGAGCGUGAGUUUGCGUAUAGAUCUAUACUGGAUUGACUAUCCUACACCUUGCUGCUAGCUACAGCCGGACCUGCAGGUCUGCGGGUGCCAAACGUCAUUUCGUUAUUACGACCAUUUGUAUGUCGUUGUUACCAGUCGAUAGUAUGGUGCAAUUUAUCACAUUAUACCUUAAUAUAAAUCCGGUUUAAGGUAGUUAGUACAGCAGUAGUUCCUAUAAUACAAAACUACAGUACUACAAUGAUUUACCCAUUACAUAUUUUUAGUGAUUAUUUCACUUAAACAUUAAUGUACAAACUAUAUUUUGUUAAAUGAUAGUUACACUU
rnacentral:lncRNA from 1 species